rnacentral:rRNA from 1 species
UUCCAGACUCCUACGGGAGGCAGCAGUGGGGAAUAUUGCACAAUGGGGGAAACCCUGAUGCAGCGACGCCGCGUGAGCGAAGAAGUAUUUCGGUAUGUAAAGCUCUAUCAGCAGGGAAGAAAUUGACGGUACCUGAGUAAGAAGCUCCGGCUAAAUACGUGCCAGCAGCCGCGGUAAUACGUAUGGAGCAAGCGUUAUCCGGAUUUACUGGGUGUAAAGGGAGCGUAGGCGGCCUGCCAAGUCUGAUGUGAAAUACCGGGGCUCAACCCCGGGGCUGCAUUGGAAACUGGCAGGCUGGAGUGUCGGAGAGGCAGGCGGAAUUCCUAGUGUAGCGGUGAAAUGCGUAGAUAUUAGGAGGAACACCAGUGGCGAAGGCGACUUUCUGGACUGUACCUGACGCUGAGGCGCGAAAGCGUGGGUAGCGAACGGGAUUAGAUACCCCUGUAU